CCCAACUGGGCAGAGGGAUCCCCUUCCCAUCAUCACUGGUGCUUGGCUGAAAGCUCAGGGAUGCAAAUCAACAGACGGUGCCUUGGAGAGUCCUGGACCUCAGCCUGGCUGCAAUGCCCAGGAUGCCUACAUCUUCUCUCAGCUACCCCCAAGAGAAAAGGCUCAUGUGUGUUCAGGGUAUGGGCAGAUACAGCCAGGGAGGGGGCGGUGGCCCCCCCGUCCCGUCGGUGCCAGACCCCUGCGAAUGCAUGAGGAUACACAGGGAGAUUUCCUGAGCAGCUGCAGCUGGACACUGAGCAGACAACUGUAUGAAAGGCAGGAGGAAUGUCUGACAAGGUGUGGCGCUCCCACCAGACUACCAGGUGUGCACUUCUACCAGAUCACCAAGGGUGGAUCUUCACCAGACCACCGGAGCUGCACCACCACCAGAAGAUUCCCUGAUGAACUCCACAGAAGAUCAUCCCUGGGCCAAGCACAGGUCUCUCUCUCUGCCCCCCAUCUGUGGCUGAGGGCGAUACCCCAGCUCUUUUCCUUCUCUUCUUCUCUGUCCUCUUUAUUUCUCUCUCUCCCCCUUCUCUCUCUCUCCCUCUGUUUUGUGUAACCUUAUCCUUUAAUAAACAGUUUUGUGCUGCUA